rnacentral:rRNA from 1 species
UACAGAGGGGGCAAGCGUUGUUCGGAAUUACUGGGCGUAAAGGGCGCGUAGGCGGCCUUCUAAGUCGAACGUGAAAUCCCCGGGCUCAACCCGGGAACUGCGUCCGAUACUGGAAGGCUUGAGUUCGGGAGAGGGAUGCGGAAUUCCAGGUGUAGCGGUGAAAUUCGUAGAUAUUCGCAAGAACACCAGUGGCGAAGGCGGCUCACUGGCCCGAUACUGACGCUGAGGUGCGAAAGCGUGGGGAGCAAACAGG